rnacentral:rRNA from 1 species
ACGAACGCUGGCGGCAGGCCUAACACAUGCAAGUCGAACGAAGGCCCGGCUUCGGCCGGUGUCCUUAGUGGCGGACGGGUGAGUAACGCGUGGGAACCUGCCCUUUAGUUCGGAAUAACAGAGGGAAACUUCUGCUAAUACCGGAUACGCCCUACGGGGGAAAGGCUUCGGCCGCUAAAGGAGGGGCCCGCGUCCGAUUAGCUAGUUGGCGGGGUAACGGCCCACCAAGGCUACGAUCGGUAGCUGGUCUGAGAGGAUGAUCAGCCACACUGGGACUGAGACACGGUCCAGACUCCUACGGGAGGCAGCAGUGGGGAAUAUUGGGCAAUGGGCGAAAGCCUGACCCAGCCAUGCCGCGUGGGUGAAGAAGGCCCUCGGGUUGUAAAGCCCUUUCGGCGGGGAAGACAAUGACGGUACCCGCAGAAGAAGCCCCGGCUAACUCCGU